GUUACAUGCUAUUUGGCUACAAGCAAAGUGCCAUGAAAGGAAAGAUGGAGGAGCAGUGAAUCCCAUGACGGUGAGUAGGAGUGUCACAAGCAAAGGGCAAUGAUAGCCGACCUCUCAAUGGAUUGGUGACCCGACACAGCUGUCUCAUCCUUCUCCCAUCCCCUGCCCGCCUGCCUGCCCCUCCACCCAUCAAGCACAAGCCAGCUCAGCUGUUAGUGGCGAAGCACAUGGUGGGGGUGGCAGAGGCCAAGGUCAGACUCUCCAGGAGUAGAGCUGGGCUCAGCCUGCCUUCUUCUAUUGAACCUAGGCCUGGCAACGUACUGGGAGAGAGAGACAGAGCGUGAGCAGAGGAGGGGCAGAGAGAGAAGGAGACACAGAAUCCGAAGCAGGCUCCAGGCUCCGAGCUGUCAGCACAGAGCCCGACGUGGGGCUCGAACUCACAGACCGAGAGAUCGUGACCUGAGCCAAAGUCAGACACUCAACUGACUGAGCCACCCAGGCGCCCCAACUUCAGGCUCUCUUGGAGUCAAGAGUGCCAUCUGUACUUCCAAAGGGUGCUCCUAGGAAUUGGAAGGGAGUUCUCUCCUGCACACCAUAUCCCCUGCCUAGCCUCGUUUUGCGGGGUCCAAGCCCACUCCAUAGGGCCCAGAGCUCCUGCCCUCCAAAAGGAGACUUGCUGGGGAGUGAAAAGCUCAGGGGCUGCUCCGCCCCCUACCAGUCAGCAUCUACUACAUUCCACUCGCCAGGUACUUCAUGCACAAUAUCUUAGUUAAUAUUUCUUUUUUUUUUUCAAGUAAACUUCACCCCCAGUGUGGGGCUUGAACUCCCAACCCAGAGAUCAAGAGUUGCAUGCUCCACUGACCGAGCCAGCCAGGAGCCCCUGCUAUUUAACGCUUGUAACUAGCUUGUGAAAGCCUUCUACUCUUCCUUUAGGGAUGGGGAACUGAAACUUUGGGGGUAUAGAAACGUGCCCCGCUCAUGAGGCCAAGAGUUGGGAUUUGGUCCCAGGUCUGCCUGCCGCCUAAGUCCAUGGUCUUGAACACCGUGACAUACUGCCUCCAACGUCACUUGUCUUACCUCAGAAGCUGCCCGGAAGGAGCUGAGAUGACUAUGGUACAAUGGCCUGGCACAAUGCCUGGCACCUGGAGUGCAUUUGAAUAUGCCUUCUUUCUCCUUUGGUUUCCUGUGUGGAGGAGAGCGGGGUGUGCAACACUCCCCUGACCAGUGGGAGGGGGCUUCGGCAGCAAGUGAGUGAGGCAGGCAAGGUGGGCAAAGAGGCAAAUGUAGAAGCCAAGCCCCCCACCCCUUACCACCCCCACCACUUUCACCUCUGGAGCCUGGCCCUGGUGAGAAGCCGAAGAAACCAGGGAUCAUCAGCGGGCACCCCCAACACUCACCCACGCCCGCCUGCUAUGGGGGGCAUGGCUGGAGAGGAUGAGAAUCCUCCACACCCAUUGCUUGUCCUCCUGCUCUCUGCCGCCUCCCUCCACCCCAAAAAGAGGCAUUCCCAGACUCCCAGACAGAGGGAGCGGAGGGGCUGGGAGUGGAAAGGGAGGAGGGGCCGCCACACACUGAAGCCUUUGUGGGAUUCCCAAGAGUCGAGGUGGAAACACUUCAUAUAUCAAGUGUGUUUGUCCCUCCCUGGGGAAUGGGAGGGGGGAGUGGCAAGGGGGAGGGAGGACGUGGUGGAGGGCUUAGGGCCUGAAAUAGGAAACAUCAGUGUGUAACCCGAGUCCGGGAAGGGAGGAGGGGGCUGCCCAGAACCUUUCUUGAGGAACUGACCUGUUCUUGGCUUCUGGGAUCCCCACUCUGGGGCUUCUACUCCCCCCUUCUCAGGCCCCUAUUCACUGUGCAGAAACACACAACACCGGCCACUCCUUCCAGACCCUGUGUUCUUCCUGCCAGGCUCCAUAGUUACCUUCCCUGCAUCCCACUCUUGUUCACUCCCUGGCCUGCUCCUUGGUUCUCCCGGAGUCCACUCUUCCCUCACCCCACUUCCCCCACCGAAGUCUCUAUUCCACCACCACCCCACCUCGCCAUCUUCAGAACUCUGCUCCGGCCAAGGCUCUGAGACUCCUGGCCACCGUCUCCCCUGGAUCUCCUCUUUUUGGAGCUCACUCUCUUCAACCACAGCCUUGCCUCCUGCUGCCCAAAACUGUUCUAGGAUCCUAGGUCAGUCUUCUCUAAGUCUUGACAGGUUCCUUGCCUCUGUUCCCUCACUCGUGUCCCUGACCCAGCCAACAUGCCAGAUAACAGGGAUACUGUAUUGAGAGUGACUAUAACCCAGCUCACUCAGUAACCUUGUAAUGAAUAUAACUGUGACAAUUCAGAAAAGUUAUUUAAGAAGUUAUUCAAGCUUAUUCAAGAAGCAUUUACUGAGGGCCUACUAAAUGUCAGAUCCUCUGCUAGCUGCUGGUCAGGAACUCACAGUACAUAUCACCCUUAGGCUCUAGGCAAGAGGGUACCCAGUGCUGAGACUCCACAGCACAAAGUCCAUGGGAUGCGUCUCCCCUGAACCUGCAUGGUCCCCUCCACACUCCUUCUAGACCAUGCCCUGGGUUCCUGGCCCAGUGCUGUGUGAAACCAUACUGAUAUCUGAGGCAGAAGAAAGAAAGAAAGAAAGAAAGAAAGAAAGAAAGAAAGAAAGAAAGAAAGAAAGAAAGAAAGAAAGAAAGAGAGAGAGAAAGAAAGAAAGAAAGAAAGAAAC